UUUUCCAUUUUGAGUUUGAUCCUGGCUCAGGGUGAACGCUUGUGGUACGCCUUAUACAUGCGAGUUGAACGUAUUUUUACGUAGCGAACGGGUGAGUAAUGCAAAGGUUAUUUGCUUUUAGACCCGGAAUCAAAUACCGGCGUAAAAGGAUAAAUCCAUCUAAAAAUAAGCUUUUGUAGAAUUAGGUUGUUGGUGAGGUAACUGCUCACCAAGCCGACGAUUCUUAGCUGGUCCGAGAGGAUGACCAGCCACACUGGAACUGAGACAAGGUCCAGACUUUUUUAGAAAGUCAGCAGUAAGGAAUAUUGGACAAUGAGCGAGAGCUUGAUCCAGCGAUACCACAUGAGUGAAGAAGGCUCUUUGGCUGUAAAACUCGAUAUUUUAGGAAGAGAUUGACAUUACUAAAAAAAAAGUCCCGGCUAACUUCGUGCCAGCAGUCGCGGUAAUACGGAGGGGGCGAGCGUUAUCUGGAAUAAUUGGGCGUAAAGUGUUCGUAGGCUGUAUUUGGCUGUUGAGUGUUAAAGACCAAAGCUUAACUUUGGAUGUGCACUUAAAACGUUUAUACUGGAGUACGGUAUGGGACAAUGGAAUUUUACAAGGAGGGGUGAAAUCCGUAGAACUGUAAAGGAACGCCAAAAGCGAAGGCAAUUGUCUGGGCCGUUACUGACGCUGAGGAACGAAAGCGUGGGUAUCCAACAGGAUUAGAUACCCUGGUAGUCCACGCUGUAAAUUAUGAGUGCUCAUGCUUAGAAUUUUUUAGGCAUUUAGUUAACACGUUAAGCACUCCGCCUGAAGAGUACAAUCGCAAGAUCGAAACUCAAAGGAAUUGACGGGGGCCAACACAAGUGGUGGAGCAUGUUGUUUAAUGCGAAAAUACGCGCGAAACCUUACCAGUUCUUGACAGUGUAUGAAGUGAAAAAGAAAUAAGGUUCUUUUUCCGUUUUAUAGUAAACUUUUUUACACACAGGUGUUGCAUGGCUGUCGUCAGCUCGUGUUGUGAAAUGUUAGAUUAAUUUCUUAAACGAGCGCAACCCCUACUUUUAGUUGCCAUUGUUUGUCAUUUCAAACAGGAACUCUAAAAGGACUGCUAGUGGAUAAGCUAGAGGAAGGUGGGGAUAACGUCAAGUCCUCAUGGCCCUUAUGAACUGGGCUACAAACGUGCUACAAUGAAGACUACAAAAAGAAGCAAUAGUGUGUAAACUGGAGCAAAUCUGUAAAAGUUUUCUUAGUUCGGAUUGUGGGCUGAAACUCGCCCACAUGAAGUUGGAAUCACUAGUAAUCGUAGAUCAGCACGCUACGGUGAAUAUGUACCUUGGCCUUGUACACACCGCCCGUCACAUGUUGGGAGUAAUUUCCUUUUGAAGAUUAGAUGAUUAACCAUCGAUUUUGGGUUCGUUGGAAGUUUCUUUUUGAGGCAGGGGAUUGCAACUGAGAUGAAGUCGUAACAAGGUAGCCGUACGGGAACGUGCGGCUGGAAUACUAAAACAACAAG
rnacentral:rRNA from 1 species